UGUUUUGUUUUUUUUUAGAAUACCCCUGCGACACUUGUAACAAGUCAUACAAACUGUUGGGAUCCCUACGACGUCACAAAAAAUACGAGUGCCAAGUGGCACCAAAAUUCAAUUGCAUCUUUUGCGAUUACAAAUCUAAGCAGAAAACACCUAUGAUGACACAUCUACGAAUCAAACACGAUUACGUUCCAAAUAAGUGAAUGGAAAUGUCUGAAAUGUAACAGAGUUUACAAACGGAAGUGGUCACUGUGCAAACACUUGAAAUGGGAAUGCGGACGUCAGUGCCAAUUUAAAUGUACAUUGUGUAAUUACUCUUCUAAACGGAAAGCUCAUAUGUUGUACCACAUGAAUGCCAAGCAUAAACUCGAGAUGAAUGUUAUUUCUAACGAAAAUUAAUUGUAACCAUGUAAUUUAGACUCUUUAGUUGUAAAACAUGUUCCACUGUCGGUAAUAUAUAUAAUAUGGUUA